GCACCGCUUCCUAAAGACACAGGCAGGAGAUGGAGUGCAAGGUGUUUCAAUGCAAGGAAGGAAUUUAGUGCUCAAAUGAGCAAAGCAGUCUGAGCUGUGUGAUCUUGGGUCGUAGCUUUUCUAAAAUGUGAUCGAUAUGUUCACACGAAACCCAGCAAACACUGUCUUGUCUUUGUUCCACAGACACAUUCGAUUUGCUUUGUUAUACAUAUGCACUUAGUGAGAAAAUCAUGUGAAAUGUGGAAAAUGUUUAUUUUUCCAACUGGAAGCACCGGCUCCUAAUGAGCUAGCUACCUGCUGUACGCCGUUUCCUCCACCUGCCUGAGUGUCAAUGUUACCCCACGGACCCUCUGAGGAAACGGCCGUGUUCCUCAGCCAGACAGAGGCUUCAUUAUCCCCGGUGUGCGCCGUAGCACAGGAGGCUGCUACGCCCCGGCAGAGGGAGCAGGCCACGUUGGCAUCGCCCAAGAGGAGUCCCCGCUGGCCCUGACUGGGUGGGGAGACAGAUGGUGGGGUCCGACUUAAAGCCCAGCACCAACCCACCACACGGCCGACAGCCUCUUUAACCCCCCUCACACACACGCACACACACACACACACACACACACACACACACACGCAUGCACGCACACACACACACACAUAUGCAUGCACACGCACACGCACACGCACACACACACACACACACACACACACACACACACACACACACACACACACACACACACACGGUGAAUUAUUCAUGUGCCCUGCAAAGUCUGACAAAAAGACCUUCUGAGGUGCAGGUAUGGCGGGUGAUGGUGGCAUUUACAUGGAGCCUGCAUAAUUACGCUUGUGCACAUGUGAGUGUUUUCAGAAGAGCUUGUCAUAAGUUGGCUGGAUGGUGGGAAGCAACAACUACCAAUAUAUUUAUGUUGUCCUUCGUCCAGCUUAGAAGGAAGCUAUUUUGUGUUAUUACUGCAAAUGGUUGCGAUCCAGACACACAAGACGGUGCAGAGACUAUAAGAAUGAGCAGGGGAUGGAAAAUCAUAAAAUAUGCAUCUUAGAUCCACUGUGCCGCCUUCGGAGCCUGGGGAGUUAUUCUCUUAAUUGUGAGUUAGUCUUCACUUAAAAUCUGAUAGCGCUGUAGAUCCAUUAAACUCACAGAGAGGUGAAAAGUGCGGCCGGCGCGCGAUAAGGAGGUGAGCGGGAGCCAAAGUCUAAUGGGCCUGGGCCGCUUCGCCCCCACACCCGUGCAGUCAUCAUGUGAUAAUUGGGAGAUACUGGGGGGGAAUCUCGGAGGAUCUCUCUCUCAUUGCAGCGGUGACUGCGCUCAAGGCUGUUACAGUUUACCACAGAAAAGGCAACUCGCCGUCAGUGGGCCUGUGUUAAAUAAUGUGUUACACACAUUAGCAGCAGCACUGAGGCUUAACCGCUAAAUCAAAGGUUGAAACAAGGAGCCUGGAAACGCAUGGUGGCAUGGGUUUCAGUCAGUCGGGCUUUUCUAUGAGUCUGAAGAGGAAUAAGAGCUCUGGGUGUAAUUGUCUUGACCUUUAAAUCCAUGACUAUUUCUAACAAUGCUUCCUCACAGACUGAGCAAGAAGCUCUCACCCACACAGGUCAAGAAAUUCACCCAAAACAUCAAUAUCUAGGAGAAAUCUGCAUAUGAGCUGGAAGUUAGAAAGUCACAAAAACAGAAACACAAUCGAUAAAAAACAACACAAAAGUCUAAAGAUGAAAUCUUGAUUCUGGAUUUCUAGUCCAGUGAGCGGUACCUGUCAUUUCUACAAACGCAAACAUUAAGAGCUCUUCGCUAACAUCACAUAUCACAUGACAAUUGUCUAUCACUUUAUCAUUCGUGUCAUGUUCUAUGUCUUUUAUUUUUUGAAAAACAAAAUUUCGCCCUCAGACUAUUUUUCUAUAAUUUAUCAGGUGUAUUUACAAAAGGAGUGUAACCUUUUUUUAAAGGAGUCAUAUCAUGCUUUUCAUUCUAAAAAAUAUUUGACUUUAAUGUCUCAGUAAGGUCUCUGUAAAUUUUCAUCCCAUAAAACCCUUUAGAUCGUCCACACUGCCCCUGUCAAUAUGUGGUUCUCACUCCCCAUCAGCAAACGCUGUGUUUUCUGGGCGUGUCGCAAGCGAAGCUGCUCACCACACCUCUGUGCGGAAGCGCAUACCUUUUUUGUUGUUGUUUUUUUUUUUUUAAAUUGGCUCCAUGGAUACGAGCCACCGCACGGUUAGGAUACAAUAGGUGGCAGUAGUGCGACAUUGAGAAUGCAAUCCACCACAGAAGAAGACGACCCACUACAGAACUGCACGACAUUAGUCAGCUGGUUCAUAGCGUAGUAGAACCAUACGUCUACGAUCCCGAAUCUGACCCUGAAGCUGAAGAGGAGGCUGUUGAAGUCACCACAUUUCGGCUGAUGCAAGAUGUGUCUCAUUGUUGUUACAGGUAUCUAGUCUACAGAGGCUAGUGAGCUGGUGCUGAGGAUUCCUGGGGUGAAGAAUCUGAGUUGCCAUCUCUUCAUGCUUGGGUUGUAGAUGAAGGCAGUUUCCUGAUGGAUAAAACACUAAAACACUCAUAGUAUGAUUGAUGUAGACCACCUGUAGAAUAACUCCUUUACCGUUUGAGUAAAAAUGUGUUUUUUGUGAGUGCAACACUCAUUAAGAAUUUUUUUAACUUUAUUUAUAUAUAAUUUAUAUGCGUUUUAUUUAUGGCCGCUUCAACUUUAUAGCUUACCAUAUUAGAAAGAGAAAAACAUGUAAUUUCAAUACUAUGAUUUCCUAAAUAAAAGUGUUUUCCCUUCAGAAA